rnacentral:rRNA from 1 species
UACGUAGGGCGCAAGCGUUGUCCGGAAUUAUUGGGCGUAAAGAGCUCGUAGGCGGUUUGUCGCGUCUGCUGUGAAAACCUAAGGCUCAACCUUGGGCUUGCAGUGGGUACGGGCAGACUAGAGUGCGGUAGGGGGUGACUGGAAUUCCUGGUGUAGCGGUGGAAUGCGCAGAUAUCAGGAGGAACACCGAUGGCGAAGGCAGGUCACUGGGCCGCAAACUGACG